CAAUAAAUUUUGGAUGUUGUCUUAGGCUUCAUUUAUUUGCACUUAACUACUGAGGUCUUUGAAAGUACAAGAGGGGGGAGGGGGCAUGUAAAAAUUUUAGUCGACUACUCUUUGGGCCCAGAUAAACUACAACAAAUAGUAAAGGUGCAUAAUAUAUAAUAUGAGAGCGAUAAAAUAAAUGACACUAGAAAUUUCAAUGUGGUAUCCUAAUCCAGUCCCCUUGGGUUGCAAAGAGGCUCUCUCUUUAAGCUGUUUGUAAUUUGAGUUGACUACAACCUUUGUUGUUUUCCGCGUUCACCGCCUACGCUUACAAGGUUGGUUUUUACUCGCUCACCAACAGCAAACAAGGGUUGAUUUUGACAUGUUCACGAACGACGUACAAGGUUGAUUUUUUAUUCGCUCACCAAAGAAACGAACAAUGACACUAUCUCUCAAUACAACAAUAUUUUUAUCUCUUCUCGUUUUUUAGUACACACUAAAUUACUAGGAUUACAAUGCUUGUUAAAAGUAGAACAAAGAACUUGAGGAAGGUUGAGAUGGAAGUAUGUAUGUCUGCAUGCUUUUCCACUUUUAAGAGCUCAUAUUUAUAGCCUUUCAACUUGUUCUAGCUAUUGCCUAACCCAAGGGAAUUUCCUAGAUUGUUCCUCAAUCUUUUUUGUGAUCCUACUUCCUUAAAUCUUGGAGGGAUAUCCUCUCUUUAAUUACUUGACCGUGGAGAGCUUCCCAUCUUUUCCGACAUCUAAUGUGUAGUCAAAGUUCCUUGAAUAUCUCACUAAAUGUCCUUCCUUGUUGUAGCAGAGUCAUGGUACUGUAACCAUUAAUGAUCCUUCCUUCUAAUUCUUGAUAUUCCAGAGUUUAUUGCAUCAGUAUAUGAACCAGGUCAUACUUUGUUGCCUUCUCUUGAACUUGGAUAAUAUAUGAGUCUUCCUUAUUUGAUGUGACUUUCCAGGUGUAGUCUUGUAAAAAUCUUUCUUCACUCCUUAAUUUGUAGUAUUUCCUUGUUUGCUUCGUGGGUGCACCAUCUUCUUGGUCUAUUAUUCUUUCCAGCACAUAUCUUCAGUUUUCCUUAAUUGUUGUAAGUAGAAAUCUUCCUAUCAUGUAAGCUUCCUUAGCAUGUAGGGAUCUUACUAUUGGAACUUUGGGCUUUUCAAAAUGAAUCCUUCCUCGAUUCCAUAAGUGAUUGAUUCUUUUUACUGUUUUCCUUCCACAUAGAAUAUAUUCCAGAGAUUCAAUCCAACCCAUUUAUUGAGUUUAACUUUGAAAGCCUCCACUUCGGAUCUUCUUUCCUUAAUAGCUUCAAUAGAAGUGUUGGAAAAUAUUAUUGGGUCGGCCCCAUAAGCGGUGUUAGAAGGCCCAAAAGCCCAUUAAAUGUUCCUCCACGUUAAACCCUAGAGCUAUUCCCUAUAUAAACACUAUUAUGGUGUUUAAGAAAGUUAAUUCAACAUAUAGAGACGACUAGAUUUUACACAUAAUAUCUAUCUCUGCAUCAGAAUUCUCGACGACCGGUGACACGAGUCAUGGCUGCCUCAGAUUCCCCCGAGGAGAAACCGAUUGAGAAAAAGAGAAGACCAUUACCUGAUUACCUUGAGAAAAUUCAGAAGGAUGUGAGUGCAAACAUGAGAGGAGUUUUGGUGGACUGGUUGGUGGAAGUUGCAGAGGAAUACAAGCUUCUUUCAGACACAUACUAUUACACAGCAGAGGGAAGUGCCUCUUCAUAGUCAAGUUUCAGUUGAUAAAGUUUUGCGGCUUCCUUUACUUUCACUUGAAUUUUAUGUGAACCUCAGGCUUAUAAAAAAUAUAGUAAGUAAUAGUUUCUUGUUCGCAAUGAAUUUGCUUAAGAAUCAUCUGCCUGAAAGCAUAAAUUGGUAAGCCAUCAUCAAGCCUUCUACGUUCUCUCUCCAUCAAAUAAUGAAUUUUACUCCAAUCAAUCUCUUCACCAUAACUAAAAACUCUAAAACGCUCAUUCUCCAAACCCUCCAAAUAAUGAAUAAUACAUUAAAUCCCCUUCUUGAAUUCACUAAUUCUCAAUGAUACUACAUCCUUCUCUGCUUCAAUACCUUUUUUUUCUUCACAACUCCCCAUAUCAAUACCUUUUUUUCUUCACAACUCCCCAUAAACUAAAGAAUUCCAUAUGGGGAGUUGUUGAAGAAAAAAAAAGGUAUUAAAGCAAAGAAGAAUUUGAUAUCAUUGAGAAUUAGUGAAUUCCAGAACAGGAUUAAAUGUAUUAUUCAUUAUUGGGUUUUAGAGUUUUUAGUUUUGAGAAAGAGAUUGAUUGGAAUAGAAUUCAUUAUUUGAUGAUGAGAGAACGUAGAAGGCUUGAUGAUGGCUUAGCAAUUUAUGCUUUCAGGCAGAUGAUUCUUAAACAAAUUCAUUGCCAACAACUAUCAGUUACUACAUUUUUUUAAGUCUGAGGUUCACAUAAAAUUCAAGUAAAAGUAAAGGAAGCCACAAAAUUUUAUCUGCUGGAUUGGGCUGUAGACACUUCCCUCUGUUGUGUAACAGUUUGGGUCUUUCUGGCCACAGUUGGAGGAUUUUCAAUGAUGUUUCCUACAUCGACAGAUUCUUAUCGGGGAAUGUUAUCCCUAGGCAAAGACUUCAGCUUUUAGGUGUUUCUUCAAUGCUCAUUGAUGCGAAAUUAAACCUCCACAUAUCAAGGAUUUUUGUUACAUUACAGCCAAUACAUAUACAAAGAAAUAUGUGGUGAACAUGGAGGCUAGUGCGCUACAAUCUCAAAUUUGAAAUCGGUAGUCCAACAACCAAAACAUUUCUCAGAAGAUUUACCAGGGUUGCCCAAGAAAAUAACAAAAACCCCGAUUCACACUUAAAGAGUUUCUAGGCCACUACCUAGCAAAGUUAAGUUUUAUUCGAUUACAACUGUGUGAAAUUCUUGCCUUUUUUGGUAGCUGCUGCUGUGAGAUUCCUGUCAAGGUUCACAUUACAUCCAAAGUCACAUCCUUGGUUGAGGAUUUUGUUUCAAUAUUUACUAUGUAUGUUCAUUGACAUAUAGAAGAGCUGAAUUAGCUCUAUUUAUUUUACAGAGCUUGCCCUUCAUCGUUGCUCAGGACAUACGGCAGCAGAUCUUAAUGAUUGUAUUCUUAUCAUACCUGACUUGCAAUUAUGUAGAAGAGGAAGCACUUUGGCUGUUGUUAGAGACAAAUACAAGCAGCAUAAGAUAUCAAUCUGUGUUUGAUAAUUGGUGAUUUUGUUGUAAAUACCGGCAUAAUUUAGCUAUCUAAUGUGAACACUGUAUGAUUUUCCUGUAACAGUUCAAAUGUGUGUCAACAUUGUCUUCUCCUCCGGAAAUACCGGAUUCCUUCUUUGAAGAUACAAGCUAAUGAUUACAUGGAUAUAUGCUUGGAAAUUGGAAUGGGACGCUAUGAUAAUACCUGGAAGAGGUGAACUGCCCUGCCUUCCUCAAGCAGGAAAGCUGGCUCAUGAUCCUCUGAGGACGACAUCAUGAACCUGAGUGUCAUUAUAAUAGAUUUGGUCCUCAAGGUGUACGAAAGUUAUAACAGGUAGCUAAUAAGAUAAUCUUCGAAAUUUUGUGACUUGGUUUAAAAGUCUCUUCAUGUUAAGCUUAGAGACAUGGAUAGUAAAAAUAGUGAUGCUUCUACAUUGUUGUACUGAAGUGAUGGUUGGAGUUUAGUACAGAUACAUUACUCCUGUAAUAAGCUAGAAACAACUACAGAGUACUACUAAUAAAAACGUGUACUCCUUAUUGCCUUC